rnacentral:rRNA from 1 species
GACGAACGCUGGCGGCGUGCUUAACACAUGCAAGUCGAACGGUAAGGCCCUUCGGGGUACACGAGUGGCGAACGGGUGAGUAACACGUGGGUGAUCUGCCCUGCACUUCGGGAUAAGCCGGGGAAACUGGGUCUAAUACCGGAUAGGACCACUGCCUGCAGGGGUGGAGGUGGAAAGCUUUUGCGGUGUGGGAUGGGCCCGCGGCCUAUCAGCUUGUUGGUGGGGUGAUGGCCUACCAAGGGGACGACGGGUAGCCGGCCUGAGAGGGUGACCGGCCACACUGGGACUGAGAUACGGCCCAGACUCCUACGGGAGGCAGCAGUGGGGAAUAUUGCACAAUGGGCGCAAGCCUGAUGCAGCGACGCCGCGUGAGGGAUGACGGCCUUCGGGUUGUAAACCUCUUUCAGCACCGACGAAGCGCAAGUGACGGUAGGUGCAGAAGAAGGACCGGCCAACUACGUGCCAGCAGCCGCCGUAA